rnacentral:lncRNA from 1 species
CCCGCUGUUACUACGUGUUACAAAAAACCGAAAGUGAAAGCAGUAUUGUUAGCAGCUCAGACAAUAUCUGCGCGAUUGGACCUGGUUCUGAAGGGUAUUGUAUAGUAAAGUACUGGUGUGAAGAUUGAGACAUAAUACAGGAAUUGAAACAACCAUGAGCGGCAGAAUGAUCAGUUAUUUCACAGUUGUGGCCGGACGAAAAAUAGCAGUUGAGAAGAUCAUUAGAACAACUCUACAGCAGAAUGUAAAGUGUCUGAAGGAGGUGUCUACAGAGGAGGAGUCCGAUGUCAUCCUGCUUUUCUGUCCUGUUGCAUCACGGGUUGAGAAUGAUGUUAAUGCAGCACUGCAAAAUAUUUGUUAUAUUUCAGACUAUAAGACUGUCCUUCUAGUUGUGCUCCAUCACACAUUUAAUCCAGAGAGCUCUGUAUUAGACAGCAGCAUAUUUAUAACCAGAGAAAAUACAAUCACAGUAGACGUCCUGUUCCACGAGGACAAGGGAUUAUUAAUAUGUAAAAAAAACGAGGAGGCUUUAUUGAAGAUCACAGAGUGGCUGAAGUUCAAGGUAAUAAUUGUUUUUUUGUAUGUUUUUUUGUUUGUUUGAUUUUGAAGAAGAAGAAUUGCUUGUUCGCUAGAUUCUGUUUUGUUUAGCACAUGUGCACUUAUAAUGUCCAGCUUUACUAUUUUGACUCAAAUUGUGAUCUAUACCAACACUAAAGACAUAUUCUCUUGACUUUAUUACUUAUUUCCACAGGAGAAAGAAAGCCCUGAAGAAGAAAUAAAAAGAUUGAAACAAGAAAUAAUAAGACUCA